rnacentral:rRNA from 1 species
AUGGAGGUGUCUGUGCAAGGGCAGGACAAGGUGUACAAGGACGUGAUCAAGCCGCUGGAGAGCAUCAGCAUCAACAUGACCUCCACCACCAAGGAAGACAUCCGCGACCUCAGCCCGCCUGACCCCGCCGUCCGCGAGUGGACCUCAAGACUGUCGUGUACCACGCCGAUGACGUCCUCGACGACUUCCUCUAUGAGGUGCUGCACCGCCGUGCAACCCAGAUCCGCCGCCGCUGCUCCACUACUCGCAAGGUUCAUCCUACCUUCUCUUCCCACUCCGGCUAGCUCUGUUUGA